CCUACGGGUGGCAGCAGUGAGGAAUAUUGGUCAAUGGUCGCGAGCCUGAACCAGCCAAGUAGCGUGAAUGAUGACUGCCCUACGGGUUGUAGACUUCUUUUAUAAGAGAAUAAAGUGAGGCACGUGUGCCUUUUUGUAUGUACUUUAUGAAUAAGGAUCGGCUAACUCCGUGCCAGCAGCCGCGGUAAUACGGAGGAUCCGAGCGUGAUCCGGAUUUAUUGGGUUUAAAGGGAGCGUAGAUGGGUUGUUAAGUCAGUUGUGAAAGUUUGCGGCUAAACCGUAAAAUUGCAAGUGAUACUGGCAGUCUUGAGUACAGGUGAGGUAGGCGGAAUUCGUGGUGUAGCGGUGAAAUGCGUAGAUAUCACGAAGAACUCCGAUUGCGAAGGCAGCUUACUAACCUGCCACUGACAUUGAUGUGCGAAAGUGUGGGUAUCAAACAGGAUUAGAUACCCCUGUAGUC
rnacentral:rRNA from 1 species